UACGUAGGGUGCAAGCGUUAAUCGGAGUUACUGGGCGUAAAGCGUGCGCAGGCGGUCUUGCAAGUCAGAUGUGAAAUCCCCGGGCUUAACCUGGGAACUGCAUUUGUGACUGCAAGGCUGGAGUACGGCAGAGGGGGAUGGAAUUCCGCGUGUAGCAGUGAAAUGCGUAGAUAUGCGGAGGAACACCGAUGGCGAAGGCAAUCCCCUGGGACUGUACUGACGCUCAUGCACGAAAGCGUGGGGAGCAAACAGG
rnacentral:rRNA from 1 species